rnacentral:misc_RNA from 1 species
AUUCAUUUAAUUUCUUUGCUCCUCACAUUGUACUCUUUAAAUUCUCACCAAUCUUCCCUUUCUAUUGUCUUAGCUACAAUCAAACAAUUUCCCUCCUUCUUUUCUAAAAGAAAAAAUUGAAAUUGAGAGAAUUUUUUUGUUUGUUUGUUUGUGAAAAUGCCAGAACCAGUCCCAAAUUUCUCUAACUCUGUUAAGCUGAAAUAUGUGAAACUUGGUUACCAAUACCUUGUUAAUAAUUUUCUUACUUUCUUGAUUGUUCCCAUAAUGGCUGCUCUUAUUAUUCAGGUACUAAAAUUAGGGCCUGAAGAGAUUGUAAGUAUUUGGAAUUCACUUCACUUUGAUCUCCUCCAAAUCCUCUGUUCUUCUUUUCUCAUCAUUUUCAUAGCCACAGUUUACUUCAUGUCAAAACCAAGAUCCAUUUACUUAGUAGAUUACUCAUGUUACAAAGCCCCCGUUACGUGCAGAGUACCCUUUUCAACUUUCAUGGAACAUUCGCGUCUAAUCUUGAAAGAUAAUCCAAAAAGUGUUGAAUUUCAAAUGCGAAUUCUUGAAAGGUCAGGUCUUGGUGAAGAAACAUGUUUGCCACCAGCAAUUCAUUAUAUCCCUCCAACGCCAACAAUGGAGACUGCUAGAAAUGAAGCUGAAGUUGUUAUAUUCUCUGCUAUUGAUGACUUGAUGAAGAAAACAGGACUUAAGCCUAAAGAUAUCGAUAUUCUUAUCGUGAACUGUAGCUUGUUUUCUCCAACUCCGUCUUUAUCUGCUAUGGUUGUCAAUAAGUACAAGUUGAGAAGUAACAUAAAAAGUUACAAUCUUUCUGGCAUGGGAUGUAGUGCUGGUCUAAUCUCCAUUGAUUUGGCUAGAGAUCUUCUUCAAGUUUUACCAAAUUCAUGUGCUUUAGUUGUGAGUACUGAAAUCAUCACUCCUAAUUAUUAUCAAGGCUCAGAAAGAGCAAUGUUACUUCCAAAUUGUUUGUUCAGAAUGGGUGGUGCUGCUAUACUUUUGUCUAACAAGAGAAAAGAUAGUGCAAGAGCUAAAUACAGAUUAAUGCAUGUGGUGAGAACCCAUAAAGGUGCUGAUGAUAAGGCAUUUAAAUGUGUUUUUCAACAAGAAGAUCCACAAGGGAAAGUUGGUAUUAAUCUAUCA